UACGGGCAUAUCACGUUGAUACACCGAUUCUCGUACGAUUACCGGAGUUAAGCAACGUCGAGCCUGCUCCGUACCAAAGUGGGUGACCGCUUGGGAAUGCCAGGUGCUGUAA